CAACUUUCAACAACGGAUCUCUUGGUUCUGGCAUCGAUGAAGAACGCAGCGAAAUGCGAUAAGUAGUGUGAAUUGCAGAAUUCAGUGAAUCAUCGAAAUCUUUGAACGCACAUUGCGCCCUUUGGUAUUCCAAAGGGCAUGCCUGUUCGAGCGUCAUUU
rnacentral:rRNA from 1 species